GAACGCACCUUGCGCUCCUUGGUAUUCCUCGGAGCAUGCCUGUUUGAGUAUCAUGAAAUCUUCAAAAUAAAUCUUUUGUUCACUCGAUUGAUUUUAUUUUGGACUUGGAGGCUUGCAGAUUCACGUCUGCUCCUCUUAAAUUUAUUAGCUGGAUCUCGGUGAGCUCGGUUCCACUCGGCGUGAUAAGUAUCACUCGCUGAGGACACUGUAAAAGGUGGCCGGGAUUGCGGAUGAACCGCUUCUAAUAGUCCAUUGACUUGGACAAUAAAUACUUUAUGAUCUGAUCUCAAAUCAGGUAGGACUACCCGCUGAACUUAAG
rnacentral:misc_RNA from 1 species